rnacentral:rRNA from 1 species
UUCCUACGGGGGGCAGCAAUGAGGAAUCUUGCGCAAUGGGGGCAACCCUGACGCAGCGACGCCGCGUGGGUGAGGAAGUCCUUCGGGAUGUAAAGCCCUUUUCUGGGGGACGAGAACGGACGGUACCCCAGGAAGAAGCCCCGGCUAACUACGUGCCAGCAGCCGCGGUAAUACGUAGGGGGCAAGCGUUGUCCGGAUUUACUGGGCGUAAAGAGCGCGUAGGCGGACUGUUAAGCGGGGCCGGAAAGCCCCCGGCUCAACCGGGGAAGGGGCCGCGAACUGGCAGUCUUGAGGGGGAGAGGGGAGAGCGGAAUUCCUGGUGUAGCGGUGAAAUGCGUAGAGAUCAGGAGGAACACCAAUGGCGAAGGCAGCUCUCUGGCUUCACCCUGACGCUGAGGCGCGAAAGCGUGGGGAGCGAACGGGAUUAGAUACCCCUGUAGUCC